rnacentral:rRNA from 1 species
UACGUAGGGGGCAAGCGUUGUCCGGAUUUACUGGGUGUAAAGGGUGCUCAGGUGGCUUGGAAAGUCAGUGGUGAAAUCUGAGAGCUUAACUCUCAAAACUGCCAUUGAUACUUCUUAGCUUGAGUACGGAAGAGGCUGAUGGAAUUUCAGGUGUAGCAGUGAAAUGCGUAGAUAUCUGAAAAGAACACCAGUGGCGAAGGCGGUCAGCUGGUCCGUUACUGACACUAAAGCACGAAAGCGUGGGUAGCAAACAGG